rnacentral:rRNA from 1 species
GACGAACGCUGGCGGCGUGCUUAACACAUGCAAGUCGAGCGGAGCGGCGAACGGGUGAGUAACGCGUGAGUAACUGCCCCCCUCUCUGGGAUAACAGUUGGAAACGGCUGCUAAUACCGGAUAGUAGGGGAUGACUCGCGUCCUAUCAGCUUGUUGGUGGGGUAGUGGCCUACCAAGGCGACGACGGGUAGCCGGCCUGAGAGGGCGACCGGCCAACAUGGGCUGCGUUAGGGCGCAAAGUCGAACGGGGGGCAGUAGUGGGAAGUAUUGCGCAAUGGGGGAAACCGUGAUGAAGAGACGCCGCGUGCGGGAUGACGGCCUUGGGGGGGUAAACCGCUUGCAGCCAUGACGCGGUAGUGGCAGAAGAAGCACCGGCUAACUACGUGCCAGCAGCCGCGGUAAUUC